AGCAGCCGCGGUAAUUCCAGCUCCAAUAGCGUAUAUUAAAGUUGUUGCAGUUAAAAAGCUCGUAGUUGAAUUUCGGGAUCAAGGAAUCGGUCAUGCCUUGGUAUGUACUGGUUUUAUUGGUUCUCACCUUCUAAAGAACCAUAAUGUCAUUCAUUUGAUGUUAUGGGGAAUUAGGACUGUUACCUUGAAAAAAUUAGAGUGUUUAAAGCAGGCUUACGCUUGAAUACAUUAGCAUGGAAUAAUGAAAUAGGACAUCCGAUUCUAUUUUGUUGGUUUCUAGGAUCGAUGUAAUGAUUAAUAGGGAUAGUUGGGGGCAUUAGUAUUCAAUUGUCAGAGGUGAAAUUCUUGGAUUUAUUGAAGACUAACUACUGCGAAAGCAUUUGCCAAGGAUGUUUUCAUUAAUCAAGAACGAAAGUUAGGGGAUCGAAGACGAUCAGAUACCGUCGUAGUCUUAA
rnacentral:rRNA from 1 species